CCGAUUUCACGAAUUCUCAAACAAUAACAUAAGAUUAUUAAAUAAAGCAACUGACUUGAUACUCAACGUAAAUUACUACAGAAUUUAAUACAAAUUCGAUCUUUUAUGAUCAAUCACCAGUGAAGAUUGAUGAUUCACCAAAAAAGUUAUUUUGAAGUUGGCAAAGUAUGGAAAUUUGAGUGAUCCGAAAAAUAUUUAGAUAUAUGAUUUUUUGUUGAAAAUAACAAUACUACUUUGCAAAAAAAUCACUCUUCUUUCCAGUAUUUUGUGGUAGUAACAUAUCUUUUUAAAUUCAAUCAAUAGAACGUUGUUUCAGAAUUUUUUUCACACAAAACAUAUUUUGAAAAGAUUUUAGUCAGACGAGAGCGUAUUAAAAAUUAGUUAUUUUUUAAAUUGCAAAACUGGUCCAGUGAUCAAUUAUAAUAUUGAAAGUGUACUAAGAAGACGUAUACUAAGAGUACUGCAAUUUUAUCUUACUGUUUCAUACGCUCCUCUAAAAUAUUAUCUAAUCUUCGUUUCCAACUAACCCAAUAUUCUUUGCCUUUUAGUAAUUUAUAAUUGAUAACAAUUACCAAUAGCUGUAAAGGCUCGUAGUUUACAGACUUCACGUGUUAAAGGCAAUUUGCAAAAUGCGAGAAAUCGUACAUAUACAAGCUGGACAAUGUGGCAAUCAGAUUGGCGGUAAAUUUUGGGAAGUGAUAUCUGAUGAACAUUGCAUUGAUGCCACAGGCACUUAUUAUGGCGAUAGCGACUUACAACUAGAACGUAUUAAUGUUUAUUAUAAUGAAGCUACUGGUGCCAAAUAUGUACCUCGUGCCAUUCUGGUCGAUUUAGAGCCGGGCACUAUGGACUCGGUACGUUCUGGUGCUUUUGGGCAAAUCUUCCGUCCGGAUAAUUUUGUAUUUGGUCAGUCAGGAGCGGGUAAUAAUUGGGCCAAGGGUCAUUAUACAGAAGGCGCAGAGUUGGUCGACUCCGUACUUGAUGUUGUAAGAAAAGAGUCUGAAGGAUGUGAUUGUCUACAGGGAUUUCAGUUAACGCAUUCUCUUGGAGGCGGCACAGGCUCUGGCAUGGGCACACUAUUGAUAUCGAAAAUUCGUGAAGAAUAUCCUGAUCGUAUUAUGAAUACAUUUUCUGUGGUGCCCUCGCCUAAAGUGUCCGAUACUGUAGUGGAGCCAUACAAUGCUACUUUGAGUGUACAUCAGCUGGUAGAAAAUACUGAUGAAACAUACUGCAUCGACAAUGAAGCUCUUUACGACAUCUGCUUCCGUACAUUAAAGCUAACUACGCCAACCUAUGGCGACCUAAAUCAUUUGGUAUCUGCAACAAUGUCUGGAGUAACGACAUGUUUACGCUUUCCUGGUCAGCUCAACGCAGAUCUACGAAAGUUGGCUGUGAAUAUGGUGCCCUUUCCUCGUUUACAUUUCUUUAUGCCUGGGUUCGCUCCAUUGACCUCUCGUGGUUCGCAACAGUAUCGUGCACUUACCGUGCCUGAACUAACACAACAGAUGUUCGACGCCAAGAACAUGAUGGCUGCUUGCGAUCCGCGUCAUGGGCGGUAUUUAACGGUUGCAGCCAUAUUUAGAGGACGUAUGUCAAUGAAAGAAGUGGACGAACAAAUGCUGAAUAUCCAAAAUAAAAAUAGCAGCUUCUUUGUGGAAUGGAUUCCAAAUAACUGCAAAACAGCUGUUUGUGAUAUACCUCCUCGGGGCUUAAAAAUGUCCGCCACAUUUAUUGGAAAUUCAACAGCGAUUCAGGAAUUGUUUAAGCGAGUUUCCGAACAAUUUACGGCAAUGUUUAGACGCAAAGCUUUUUUGCAUUGGUACACCGGGGAGGGUAUGGAUGAGAUGGAGUUUACUGAAGCAGAGAGCAACAUGAACGAUUUAGUAUCGGAAUACCAACAAUAUCAAGAAGCAACCGCUGAUGAGGAAGGAGAAUUCGACGAGGAUGAAGAAGGAGGUGGAGAUGAAUAACAGUUCCAUCAGACGUAAAGAUGAUAGCUAAUGUGUUUUGCUAAAUUUUAACUUUGGGCACAGAAUGCAACUGAAAAAUUGGAUUGCAGCAUGUUUAGUUUCUAAUUUACCCCUCAGUAAGCACUUUGUGUUUAUAUGUAUGUAAUAUUUGAUUCCUCUCUGCUGUAUACAUGCAUUUUAGUGGAAUUUAUUUUUCAUCCAAUCUUUUUGAAUAACUUGUCAAUAGAACGAAACUAAAUACACAAUUAUGUCUAGACCAAAUUAACAAAAUUGGAAAGAUUUUGCAUUUUGCGAGGACAAACAUGCCCCGUAUGUAGCGAACUGAAUUGAGUUUGUGGAGUGCAAUGAACUAUGAUUAGCAUAUGCUUCGUACUUUAGUAAAGGAGUCCAAUAAAACCUCAGAUGGUAUAAUAAUUAACAAUUCAAUUUAUAUUUCAAAGCAAAAGCAACGGCAUAAAAUACACUCUGUUGCAAAAUUAUAAGACCGAUCAAAUUAUGAGAUAAGUAUUUUGUAGAAGAAAUAAGUAUUUUGAAGCAAGUUUCUUCUAUGAAACGUGUGUAUUGAUAACUCUAGUAAUUCGGGCAUAGUUUUAAUAACAUAACUGUACAACUUGCAAUGUCGCAAAAUUAUAGCAAUAUUAAUGCGUCCGAAAUAUCUUCCAACAUUGUAUCAUGUUUUGAAAUGCAAUAAACCGGCAGUCGAUGCUCAGCGACAGAGAAAAUCGAGCGUUACAAAUAAA